rnacentral:hammerhead_ribozyme from 1 species
AUCCAGCUGACGAGUCCCAAAUAGGACGAGCCACGCGUCCUGGAU